AUCCGACUGUCUAAUUAAAACAAAGCAUUGCGAGGGCCCUAGCGGGUGUUGACGCAAUGUGAUUUCUGCCCAGUGCUCUGAAUGUCAAAGUGAAGAAAUUUAAGCAAGCGCGGGUAAACGGCGGGAGUAACUAUGACUCUCUUAAGGGAUGCCUCCGCCCCUUAACCCUACGUCAUCAUGCCUAGGGCACUGCCUAUGGUCCGGUUUUACCACCUGAGAGUCGGGCAACGGAU
rnacentral:rRNA from 1 species